rnacentral:misc_RNA from 1 species
GUCGUAACAAGGUAGCCGUAGGGGAACCUGCGGUUGGAUCACCUCCUUACCUGAAGAUACCUUCCCGCGCAGUGCUCACACAGAUUGUCUGAUGAAAUUAAAGAAGAGCGUAAAACGCCUGCAGGCUUGUAGCUCAGGUGGUUAGAGCGCACCCCUGAUAAGGGUGAGGUCGGUGGUUCAAGUCCACUCAGGCCUACCAAAUUCUUCCAGUUUCCGCGUUGUGCCGAUAGCUCGCAUACUUGAGUAUGCUUCGCAUCGACACGCCUUGAACCUGAAAGAAUUCUCCUGGUAAGCACGCGUUUUGCAAAACUCUAUGGGGCUAUAGCUCAGCUGGGAGAGCGCCUGCCUUGCACGCAGGAGGUCAGCGGUUCGAUCCCGCUUAGCUCCACCAUGCAGUUUUCUGACAAUACUUCAGAGCGUACCGGCAACGGUGUGCUGCGAAGUAUUAUGCUCUUUAACAAUCCGGAACAAGCUGAAAAUUGAAACGACAUGUCGUUUUCAUUCUCCGUAAUAAGAAUGAAAUUAACGAUAUGUUCGAGUCUCUCAAAUGCUUACAACAGCAAUGUGUCUUUCGGGACGCUUGUGGGUUGUGAGGUUAAGUGACUAAGCGUACACGGUGGAUGCCUUGGC